rnacentral:rRNA from 1 species
GACGAACGCUGGCGGCGUGCCUAAUACAUGCAAGUCGGGCGGGGUUUUGGGGAGCUUGCUCCUUAAAACCCAGCGGCGGACGGGUGAGUAACACGUGGGCAACCUGCCCGCAAGACCGGGAUAACUCCGGGAAACCGGGGCUAAUACCGGAUAGGACCCCGGAUCGCAUGAUCCGGGGUGGAAAGGUGGCCUUCGGCUGCCGCUUGCGGAUGGGCCCGCGGCGCAUUAGCUAGUUGGUGAGGUAACGGCUCACCAAGGUGACGAUGCGUAGCCGACCUGAGAGGGUGACCGGCCACACUGGGACUGAGACACGGCCCAGACUCCUACGGGAGGCAGCAGUAGGGAAUUUUCCGCAAUGGGCGAAAGCCUGACGGAGCAACGCCGCGUGAGCGAGGACGGCCUUCGGGUUGUAAAGCUCUGUUCUUCGGGAAGAACGGCGGGAGGGUGAACAGCUCUCUCGUUUGACGGUACCGAAGGAGAAAGCCCCGGCUAACUAC